UCCCUCUUAGCUCAGUUGGUAGAGCGCGUCACUCGUAUGCAUAUGCGUAGAAGAUACUAAUGACGAGGUCAGUCGUUCAAAUCGGCUAGCGGGAA